rnacentral:rRNA from 1 species
CUAAUACCGGAUAAUACUCUGUCCCGCAUGGGAUGGGGUUGAAAGCUCCGGCGGUGCAGGAUGAGCCCGCGGCCUAUCAGCUUGUUGGUGGGGUGAUGGCCUACCAAGGCGACGACGGGUAGCCGGCCUGAGAGGGCGACCGGCCACACUGGGACUGAGACACGGCCCAKACUCCUACGGGAGGCAGCAGUGGGGAAUAUUGCACAAUGGGCGAAAGCCUGAUGCAGCGACGCCGCGUGAGGGAUGACGGCCUUCGGGUUGUAAACCUCUUUCAGCAGGGAAGAAGCGCAAGUGACGGUACCUGCAGAAGAAGCGCCGGCUAACUACGUGCCAGCAGCCGCGGUAAUACGUAGGGCGCAAGCGUUGUCCGGAAUUAUUGGGCGUAAAGAGCUCGUAGGCGGCUUGUCACGUCGGUUGUGAAAGCCCGGGGCUUAACCCCGGGUCUGCAGUCGAUACGGGCAGGCUAGAGUGUGGUAGGGG